rnacentral:rRNA from 1 species
GAUGAACGCUGGCGGCGUGCCUAAUACGUGCAAGUCGAGCGAACGGACGAGAAGCUUGCUUUUCUGAUGUUAGCGGCGGACGGGUGAGUAACACGUGGAUAACCUACCUAUAAGACUGGGAUAACUUCGGGAAACCGGAGCUAAUACCGGAUAAUAUUUUGAACCGCAUGGUUCAAAAGUGAAAGACGGUCUUGCUGUCACUUAUAGAUGGAUCCGCGCUGCAUUAGCUAGUUGGUAAGGUAACGGCUUACCAAGGCAACGAUGCAUAGCCGACCUGAGAGGGUGAUCGGCCACACUGGAACUGAGACACGGUCCAGACUCCUACGGGAGGCAGCAGUAGGGAAUCUUCCGCAAUGGGCGAAAGCCUGACGGAGCAACGUCGCGUGAGUGAUGAAGGUCUUCGGAUCGUAAAACUCUGUUAUUAGGGAAGAACAUAUGUGUAAGUAACUGUGCACAUCUUGACGGUACCUAAUCAGAAAGCCACGGCUAACUACGUG